CCCUAGAAUAGGCUCAUAUGUGUCG
rnacentral:misc_RNA from 1 species